rnacentral:rRNA from 1 species
CAGUAGCCGCGAGAAUACAGAGGGUGCGAGCGUUAAUCGGAUUUACUGGGCGUAAAGCGUGCGUAGGCGGCUUCUUAAGUCGGAUGUGAAAUCCCUGAGCUUAACUUAGGAAUUGCAUUCGAUACUGGGAAGCUAGAGUAUGGGAGAGGAUGGUAGAAUUCCAGGUGUAGCGGUGAAAUGCGUAGAGAUCUGGAGGAAUACCGAUGGCGAAGGCAGCCAUCUGGCCUAAUACUGACGCUGAGGUACGAAAGCAUGGGGAGCAAACAGGAUUAGAUACCCCCGUAGUCCCUGUCUCUUAUAC